rnacentral:misc_RNA from 1 species
CAGAUACUAACACUUGA